AGGAGGCACCUGACGCAGCUGAAGGCAAUAUUGACCAAUAUUUGGAUAACUUCUGCUCUUGGCAAUCUCUUAAGAAUCCUCCUGUUUCCUCUGAGCUACACUGGGACCACGCCAUCAUGUUAACCGGAUUUGAUCUCCACAAAGUGUCUCUGAAAAAUGAAAAGAAUGCAAAGGUAUUGGGCCUUGCGUGGGUGAAUGGUAUGUGCCGACCUAAGCAUAGCUGCACGUUGAACGAAGGCUCCAGUUUCGAAGCAGCUUUCGUUAUAGCUCAUGAAAUGGGCCACAGUUUAGGAAUGCUACAUGAUGGUCAUGGUAAACGAUUGUGAUCCGAGUG